UACGUAGGGACCAAGCGUUGUUCGGAUUUACUGGGCGUAAAGGGCGCGUAGGCGGCGCGGUAAGUCACUUGUGAAAUCUCUGAGCUUAACUCAGAACGGCCAAGUGAUACUGCAGUGCUAGAGUGUGGAAGGGGCAAUCGGAAUUCUUGGUGUAGCGGUGAAAUGCGUAGAUAUCAAGAGGAACACCUGAGGUGAAGACGGGUUGCUGGGCCAAACACUGACGCUGAUGCGCGAAAGCCAGGGGAGCAAACGGG
rnacentral:rRNA from 1 species